GAUUUGGGCUACACACGUGCUACAAUGGACAAUACAAAGGGCAGCGAAACCGCGAGGUCAAGCAAAUCCCAUAAAGUUGUUCUCAGUUCGGAUUGUAGUCUGCAACUCGACUAUAUGAAGCUGGAAUCGCUAGUAAUCGUAGAUCAGCAUGCUACGGUGAAUACGUUCCCGGGUCUUGUACACACCGCCCGUCACACCACGAGAGUUUGUAACACCCGAAGCCGGUGGAGUAACCAUUUGGAGCUAGCCGUCGAAGGUGGGACAAAUGAUUGGGGUGAAGUCGUAACAAGGUAGCCGUAUCGGAAGGUGCGGUUGGAUCACCUCC
rnacentral:rRNA from 1 species